AUAGAUUGCCAGCAUGUGGCAAAGAUUAUAAACUUUAGUUAAGUACUGAACAUUUUAGCAAUGGACAUUAGCCUAAAUCUACAUGACUAAAUGGAACACAUUUUACAGUCAACAGAGCGUCUUGCCAAGCCAAGCGCAGAAGAUGAGAGUUCUUCGACAUCGACGAAAUAGUCUCUGCCCUCUGCUCCAUCUCACUGGCAAUGUUCCUCAAUAUGCGUGAUAUGCUGGACAUUUUCAGGUCAAAGACAGCCCCAGCAAAAUGCCCAGGCACAAGCACUGUUAUUCUUCUCCCCUGUGGCACCUAAAGUGUGCACGUAACAUAAAGUGCCCAGCUCUCUGACCAAUCAGAGAGCUCCUUACAUCCCACAGUGUGGCUAAUUUGCAUUGCAGCAUGAUUUUUAAAAUGAAGUUGCUAAUCCAGAUGCUAAUCCAAAUGUUAAUUAAUGAGCAUAUCACGCGUUAGUGAACAGAAAAGGAAAAUGGAUUUUAAAAUGAGGAGUGGAAACGCCAUUUUAAAUUGUGUUUUUAAAAAAACAUUUUUGAAACUCAUUGUUUUAAUGUGGAAUUCGAAAAUGAAUUUAUUUAUUCUUGAAUUCAUUAUUUAUGCAGAGAAUUCUUUAUUUCAGUGUGCGUGGCUCUUGUGGUCUUCCAUACUUUAUUUCUAUUUUAUUUUUAACUGUUUUGAUUUUCUUUACCUUUUAAAAAUGUAACUUGACCUGGAGAGCUCUGCACAAGAAUUCCAGCGUGCAUGGACUGCUGGUCCUGUACACAAAUGGUAAAUAAAAAUCUUGAAUGCUGAGCCAAAUACCGACAAGAUUGUUUUUCUCACUCCCCCCAAUUUCUCUGCACUGUUUUAUAUAACAUGUUUGAGUUUGUGUGGUAUUUUAUCUAUCAAAUUCCUAUACUGAUGGGUGGAGUGAAACACACACACAGUGUUUGGAGCUGGAAUAGCACAAGUCGAGACAGGAUCACACUGAAAAACCUUUGGGUGUGGAGUGAAUGUGCAUUUCUGCACUCUUUGAAGAAACUGCAAGUUACAGCCACUGCAGCAGAUUUACAUCACGUGGUUUCACAGGACGUAGUCUGGACCUCAGCGCUGAGGAGAAGUUCAACCAGCUCUGCUUGCAGACCGGCAUCCUUCCUGAAAAUAUUCUUCAUCUUCCUAAAACCGGAACUUUUACAUUGA
rnacentral:lncRNA from 1 species